CCUAAGAAUGUCAGGAUGGUAACAUGUAAGCUGCCAACAGCUAGCGUGGAUGUCUUGUGUAAGGAAUCCUCGCUAUGGAAACAUUGCAAUGGGAUGUUCAUAGUAAACUAUUUAUCACAAUUUUAUCAUGUCUUCCAACAGAACCAUGUCCCUCUUUCAGCCUCUUCGUGUCUUCCAAAUUUCCUGAACUUCCCGGACUAUACAAAUGCAAGCAUUCAUAGGUGGAGGGACUGUGUGAGAAGGAGAGGGCCCAGGACUUGACUACCAACCUAGGAGCCAGAUUCCUGAUGCCUCGCAUACCAAGCACUCUGAAUAUCAACGAGACAAAUUCUAUGCAAAAGAAGCUUGCACCAUCAACCGUUGAGUGUAGUCCUCAAAUUUUGCCUAGACACUAGCUUGUCAUCUGCAGGAAGAAAUAUAGCAUCGAUGCAAGAUAUAUGGGAUGUUUUGUGCUAUAACUUGCAGCAGGAGACAUGUUAUUUACUUUAUGACUGCCCUGGUGGAAUGGAUGGGACAGUAUAUAUGAUUGGUUUGUCAUCAUCAAUGAAACGGUUCACCAACCACUGUGGCAAGUUUUAAGAGAUAAACAGUUCAACCAAUAUCUCUCAGUUGUACUAUUUAUGUACAAAAUUAAUAGCUCUCAGAAGUGUAGGUUCUCAAGUGUUAUAUACUGUCCCAGUGCAAGAGGACAAAUCAUCCAUUUGCUGCAGAUUGCUGGUGAUCUUCACUGCUAGAAAAAAAUUACAGUCAGGGUAAAAGGAUUUUUGUGGUUACGUUUUUUUACUCUACCUCUUGAGUUCAAAUCUCAGAAACACAUAUUUUCUGCUUUUGAUGCAGUAAUCUGGCAUAGUGCACCGAUGUGACAAAAAUGUUUGAGAGAAAUGUUCAACUAAAAAAAAUUAAUCGGAUUAAAUAUAUGAUUAGUUGAUACAAUAUUGCAUUCUUAGAUGCACAAAUUAAACAUCCUGGGAAGAUAUCUACGUCAACUGUGAUAUAGUUUUGUCAUCACAUCUCCAGUUUACUCUUGUUAAUUCUAGUUCUCACUCCUGCUGUGUAAGGUUGGGUUGCCUAGGACCAACUGAUCGGGUAUAUAAAAUAAACAAUAUUUAUCAAAAAGAGAGAAAAAGGUCAUAUCAAGCCAAAGAGCAGAAACCAGAAUGACACCAUCUCUCUUUCUCUCUGGUCUCAUCCCAAUGUCGUUUUAUCUGUCCUAGCAUCCUUUCCAGGGGUGUAAACCUGGUUCACACAUGUACUAGACCCUUGUUCUUGAGACCCUUAUCGUGGUACCCUAGCUGGUUCUUCACUGGUCGGCCGUGGCGUACUCUUAUGGUUGGACCUGAUAAUCUUAGCAAAAAAUUGUAUAGAUGACAUCUGAGAUAGAGACCAAUUUCCUGGGACAUCCCAUUUCUAUAUAAGUACGUAUAUGUGGCCAUCAUGCAAGCAGCAGUGUGAGGGCGUAGAAACUGCACAACCAGUUGAAUCAUUACAGAAACUGGAUGAGGAUCCAUUUUAUGUAUCAACACCGAUGAGCAGGUAUUUAUGGGUACUGACCUACCGGGCACAUAUAACUACUGCCUUUUUUAAAUCACUUAAUUACCAAGGCCUUGAGUAGUUGGCAGAUCACAGUACAUUAUCAUUGCCAGUAAACGUAUGCAUCGUACUAAUGCUAAUAUAGGCACAAAAUCAAAAUGUUUGAUACUUAGAAGUUUUUCCGGUUACAUGAAUUCCUCUCACUGUACUGCUUCCUCUGUUUAAUCGUUCCACUGUCCUCGUUACUGAGCUGUCCAAGUAGACAGCUUUCAAGUUUCAACACACUGAAAUAUGAUUUUCCAAUCAGCGAUUGACAAAUUUUCUCUCUCACUGCAGUAAGUGAGAAAAGCCAGUUCCUUAAAAAAGUUAGAAAAGCCGUGGUUCAAAUUGAUUAGGCAAAAAUUACUGCAGUUGUCUUAUUUAUUAUGUGUGAUGCAGUGUACAUGCAGUAAUGUAUAAAUAGUCGGAGCAUCUAAUUAACCCUA
rnacentral:lncRNA from 1 species